AACGAACGCUGGCGGCAGGCUUAACACAUGCAAGUCGAACGCGUGUAGCAAUACACGAGCGGCGCACGGGUGAGUAACGCGUGGAUAUCUGCCUUUUGGUUCGGAAUAACCCCGGGAAACUGGGGCUAAUACCGGAUGGUUCCUUCGGGAUAAAGAUUUAUCGCCAAAAGAUGAGUCCGCGUACGAUUAGCUAGUUGGUGAGGUAAUGGCUCACCAAGGCGACGAUCGUUAGCUGGUCUGAGAGGACGAUCAGCCACACUGGGACUGAGACACGGCCCAGACUCCUACGGGAGGCAGCAGUGGGGAAUAUUGGACAAUGGGGGCAACCCUGAUCCAGCCAUGCCGCGUGAGUGAUGAAGGCCUUCGGGUUGUAAAGCUCUCUUGGCGGGGACGAUGAUGACGGUACCCGCAGAAUAAGCCCCGGCUAACUUCGUGCCAGCCGCCGCGGUAAAAC
rnacentral:rRNA from 1 species